rnacentral:rRNA from 1 species
AUGAAACAAGCAGUAGUGGACUAUAUCAAACAGUGUCCUGUUUGCCAAAUCAACAAAGCAGAGCAUUGCAAAUAUCCUGGCUUGCUACAGCCACUACCAGUCCCUGACUUUGCUUGGUGCCAUAUCAGCAUGAAUUUUGUGGAGGGGCUGCCUACAUCCAACAACAAGGACUUGAUCCUAGUGGUCGUGGACAGGUUCACCAAGUACAGCCACUUUAUUGCUAUGAAACACCCUAUCACUGUCAGUUCUGUGGCUAGGGCCUUUGUGGAUAAUAUCUUUAAACUCCAUGGUCUUCCAUCCGUGAUAGUAACUGACAGGGACAAGAUCUUCACUAGCAACCUGUGGCAGGAACUUUUCAAGAAAUUGGGCAUUAAACUCCACCUUAGUACCUCCUAUCACCCCCAGUCGGAUGGUCAGACUGAGAGGGUUAAUCAGUGCAUGGAGAAUUAUUUAAGAUGCAUGGCAUUUCUCAAACCAACCAAGUGGCACCAGUGGCUCUCCCUGGCGGAAUGGUGGUACAAUACAAGCUUCCAUACAGCUCUUCAAAUCACACCAUUUCAGGCUUUGUACAACAGGAAACCACAAAUGCUAGCGGAAGCUGCUUUAUACCCAGAGGACAGCACAGACACAUUACCUUCGGUACUCACCGCUGAACAGACAGCCAAUCAGAUCAAGGGCAACCUACUCACAACACAGGAAAGGAUGAAACAUUAUGCAGACAAAAAGAGAAGUGAAAGGUCCUUGGAAGUAGGAGACAUGGUCUACCUAAAGUUACAACCUUAUAGGCAUACCACACUGAGCAUUCACAGGUGCCUGAAGCUCCACUCCAAAUACUAUGGACCCUUCAAAGUCCUACAGAAAAUAGGCAAGGUCGCUUACAAGCUGCUGUUACCGGAGGAUUGCAAACUCCACCACACAUUCCACAUCAGCCAGUUAAAGAAACACAUCGGCCCUACUGCGGUGCCCAAUCCCAAACUUCCUUUGAUCAACCCUGAUGGCACAAUUCUUCUGGAACCAGAGAUGCUGCUGGAAAUAAAAUUGGUUCCUCGAACCCAGGGGACAUCGACAUACCAGUGGUACGCUGGAAGAUCAAGUGGGCCAACCUGCCAUUGCAGGACGCAACCUGGGAGGAUGCCCAGUUCAUCCAGAAGGUGUUUCCUUUCUUUCAGCCCUGAGGACAGGUCUGGUCUCGCGCGGGAGGAAUUGUCAGGACCCUGUAUGCUGUAUCUUUUCUGUUCUCGUUCAUUCAGUUAA